GACGAACGCUGGCGGCGUGCCUAAUACAUGCAAGUUGAGCGCUGAAGGUUGGUACUUGUACCAACUGGAUGAGCAGCGAACGGGUGAGUAACGCGUGGGGAAUCUGCCUUUGAGCGGGGGACAACAUUUGGAAACGAAUGCUAAUACCGCAUAAAAACUUUAAACACAAGUUUUAAGUUUGAAAGAUGCAAUUGCAUCACUCAAAGAUUAUCCCGCGUUGUAUUGGCUAGUUGGUGAGUUAAAGGCUCACCAAGGCGAUGAUACAUAGCCGACCUGAGAGGGUGAACGGCCAAAUUGGGAAUGGGAAAAGGCACAAACGCCUACGGGAGGCAGCAGUAGGGAAUCUUCGGCAAUGGACGAAAGUCUGACCGAGCAACGCCGCGUGAGUGAAGAAGGGUUUCGGAUCGUAAAACUCUGUUGGUAGAGAAGAACGUUGGUGAGAGUGGAAAGCUCAUCAAGUGACGGUAACUACCCAGAAAGGGACGGCUAACUACGUG
rnacentral:rRNA from 1 species